rnacentral:rRNA from 1 species
CGGCAGGCCUAACACAUGCAAGUCGAGCGGAAACGAGUUAUCUGAACUUGGGGGACGAUAACGGCGUCGAGCGGCGGACGGGUGAUUUUAUGCCUAGGAAAUUGCCCUGGUGUGGGGGAUAACCAUUGGAAACGAUGGCUAAUACCGCAUAAUACCUACGGGUCAAAGAGGGGGACCUUCGGGCCUCUCGCGUCAGGAUAUGCCUAGGUGGGAUUAGCUAGUUGGUGAGGUAAUGGCUCACCAAGGCGACGAUCCCUAGCUGGUCUGAGAGGAUGAUCAGCCACACUGGAACUGAGACACGGUCCAGACUCCUACGGGAGGCAGCAGUGGGGAAUAUUGCACAAUGGGCGCAAGCCUGAUGCAGCCAUGCCGCGUGUGUGAAGAAGGCCUUCGGGUUGUAAAGCACUUUCAGUCGUGAGGAAGGUAGUGUAGUUAAUAGCUGCAUUAUUUGACGUUAGCGACAGAAGAAGCACCGGCUAACUCCGUGCCAGCAGCCGCGGUAAUACGGAGGGUGCGAGCGUUAAUCGGAAUUACUGGGCGUAAAGCGCAUGCAGGUGGUUUGUUAAGUCAGAUGUGAAAGCCCGGGGCUCAACCUCGGAAUAGCAUUUGAAACUGGCAGACUAGAGUACUGUAGAGGGGGGUAGAAUUUCAGGUGUAGCGGUGAAAUGCGUAGAGAUCUGAAGGAAUACCGGUGGCGAAGGCGGCCCCCUGGACAGAUACUGACACUCAGAUGCGAAAGCGUGGGGAGCAAACAGGAUUAGAUACCCCUGGUAGUCCACCCCGUAAACGAUGUCUACUUUGGAGGUUGUG